rnacentral:rRNA from 1 species
UACGUAGGGUGCAAGCGUUAAUCGGAAUUACUGGGCGUAAAGCGUGCGCAGGCGGUAAUGUAAGACAGAUGUGAAAUCCCCGGGCUCAACCUGGGAACUGCAUUUGUGACUGCAUUGCUGGAGUACGGCAGAGGGGGAUGGAAUUCCGCGUGUAGCAGUGAAAUGCGUAGAUAUGCGGAGGAACACCGAUGGCGAAGGCAAUCCCCUGGGCCUGUACUGACGCUCAUGCACGAAAGCGUGGGGAGCAAACAGG